AACCCAAAAAUCUCCAAAUCAAACCCUAAUCCUAAAAAUCAAACACACUAACCCUAACUCCUUCUAACUUAGCCAUAACCGCCACCCUGUUUCUUCCCAAAACUCAACAUACACACAAAAUACACACAUACACACAGCGGAGAUGAAGAGAGAAAAAGAGGGAACAGCAGCGCCGGUAGGGCCUAGUGCCGCUGUCGCCGCCGUCCAUGCCACACGCGAGGAGGAACCGUCGCGCCUUGUGAUCAUCAUCCGAGCUACCACCAUCAUUGACUGAGGCUGUCUGCGUCGCCGUCGCCUUGAGCCAGCCGUCGUCGAGAUAACUGCUGUCACGAGCUUGAGGGGGAGGCCCAAAAGGAGAUGCGCAUGAGAGAGAGAGUUCGCAGAAGAGAGCGAGCCAGAGGAGAGGAAGAAGCUGACUCAUCGCUGUCCUCGUCGUGGGUCACCGCCAUAGCGCCCUGCUGCUGCCAGCUCCGUCAUGCCUUGUCGCCGUCAAGAACGAGGAACAAAGAGUGAGAGGGAGCCGUGAAGUCGCUGCUGUGUCACCACUAGAGCUCCUCGCUGCAAGUCUCGCCAUCGGGAGUUACCGUCGGAGCUGCCGCUGCUCUGUCCUGGCAAUCUUCCUAAGUGCGGGUUAAUUUACUGGGAUUGCAUGCGGUGAAAGUUGUCGCUGUUGCUGCUGCCAGGUUUGUUCAGAGUUGCUACUGCUUCGUUAUGUUGUUACAGAGUGUGUACCGUUGUUGCAUGCUGCAUUUGUGGCUGCCGGAGUUGCUGCCACAGCAUUCUUGGCCGUCCCUCAUGGUAAGAUCGAAUAUGUUUUACAUCUUUUUGCCGCAAUAAUUUAUUCUAGUUUCGCUUAACCUCAAUUUCUGCAUUAAAUCCAAAUUAUGUCAGAUAUGCGUUGUUGCUGCUGUAUUUAUUGCGGUUGCUUGGAAAUCAAUGAGGUUGCUGUUGCGAAUUAAGAAUAAAAGAAAAUUGCCGUGUUUAAUUUCUGGAUUACGGUUAAUUGAGGUAGGGGCUAGGAUUGUUUUAAAAUGAAAAUGUUUUGGGCUUUGAAUACUUGACAAGUUUAAUAGGUUAAUGCAAAUAGAUAAAUGUCUAUGAUGUAAAUGAUUUUUCUACUGUGAUUGAAAUGUUGUCUUUGUUGGUGAUUGGUUAAUUUCAUAAUUUUUGGUGAAAUUGAUUGAAUAUGUUGAUUUUGGUCCUUUUUUUUUAUUGAAAUUGAUCAUUAUUGGUUUUGAAUGACGGACUUAGAAUGUUGAAUUGAAAUGCUAAUUUUUGUUGUGUUGAAGUUGAAUUGAGGGAACCCAUGAAGGGUGGUAAACUCCAUUUUUUAGGGAAAGUUCUGCCGAAAUUUUUCUAAGAAUUUGAAGGGUUUUGAAAGUUUUGGUUAUUGUUUCGAAAAUGAGUUUGGUUUGGUCAAUUUAUCAAAAGUAAUAUGUCAUGAGUACUUUUUAAGAAUUUAAAGUAACUAAAAUAAUGGAUUUGAGGAUAAACGCUUUCGGGGUUUCAAAAUAGGAUUUUUGAUUUUUAACUGGUAUGGCUUUGAGCCUUAUUGAAAAAGUUUUAAAACUUGAAAUGGUUUUAAAAUUGGUUUAUGAUUUAACUUAUUUAAAUUUGAAUAACAACAAAAAGAGAUUUAUUUAUUUAAUUAAAGAUUUAAAAAAGAUAAAUUACUUUAUCAAUCCAUGGGUUCGGGUUAGAAAUUGUAAAAUGAGAUAGUGUUAAAUAGAGCUAAGUUGUGAGUGGAAGAAAAAAGAGAUACUUGUGGAACAUAUAGUUGAGUUGUGAUUUACAAGAAUUACGAGAUAAUAGCAAGGUUCUGAAAAAUGGACUGGACCGGCCAGUUUGACCGGUUUAAUUGCGAACCGGCGAUGCAAACGGUCCGGUCCUCCUCCAAAAACCGCUGGUGAGAAAUCCGGUCGAAAACUGGUGAAUCGGCCAAAAACCGGUGAACUGGCCGAAAACCAGCCGGUUGGGCCGGACUGGUAACCGGCUGGUUCCUCUAAAACGACGCCGUUUUUAAUUGUUUAAAAAAAAUGAAACCCGACCUGGACCCACUUGUGACCCUAAACCCCCCUUCUUCCCCCAUUCAUUCAUCUCAGUCUCACACUCUCACUAACGGUGAACCCUAGCCCUCUGAAGCAUUCCCAGCCCAGUAGCCGUCCAUCGUCGCCGGGAUUCUCAGGUCGUUAGCACCACCGCCGUCGCCUGGUCUCUUCCCCAUUCAUUCAUCUCAGUCUCACUCCACUCGUGAACGGUGUACCUAGCCGUCUGAAGCAUUCCCAGCCCAGUAGCCCUCCAUCGUCGCCGCGGUCCUCAGGUCGUCAGUGCCACCGCCGUCGCCUGGUCCUCAGCACCGCACCGCCGCUUCUUCCUCUUCGUCUUCGCUGGCAUCUCGAACCCAGUUGAAGAAAUUGGAGGGGCUGGAUGAGGAGACAUUGAUGCCUCAGAAGACACCACCACCAUCAACAUAUCCUUGUUACUUGAAGGUUGAAAAGGGCCAGGAAUUGAUCAAAGGAAUGAAGAGAAAAGCAUGCAAAGUGAAAAAAUUAUGGGAAAUCAAGGAUUUGGGAUGCAUUCAUCGACGCGCACGCGCAGCAGAUGCGCACGCGUGGAAUGUGAAGUCACAUGGCGGCGCGUACACGUAUAUGACGCGUACGCAUGGAAAGCAAAAAUGUCAAGCGACGCGUACGCGUGACCCACGCGUACGCGUCAACGUUCACACGUGACUUCAUUAAAGUGAAAACGCUGGGGGCGAUUUCUGGGUUUCCUAGGCCCAA